UACGGGGGGGGGCAAGCGUUUGUUCGGAAUUACUGGGCGUAAAGGGUUCGUAGGUGGCCAACUAAGUCAUACGUGAAAUCCCUCAGCUUAACUGGGGAACUGCGUCUGAUACUGGUUGGCUUGAGUGCAGGAGAGGAACGCGGAAUUCCAGGUGUAGCGGUGAAAUGCGUAGAUAUCUGGAGGAACACCGGUGGCGAAGGCGGCGUUCUGGACUGCAACUGACACUGAGGAACGAAAGCCAGGGGAGCAAACGGG
rnacentral:rRNA from 1 species